GGACGCCUUUGCAACAAGUGGAUCUAGUCCCGUUGGUCGGCUGCUCGCGGAGAAGCAACAGAGGGAGCUCAGCCUCGUGGGGAGGAGGGCGGGCUCCACAAGAGAGCGACAUUCAAUGCUCUAAAAAGGAAGGUUCCUCUACACCAGUGCAGUAAAUGUGUAGCUUCUUUCCAAAAGGUAAGUCCUUCUGAAAAAAAUGUUAUAGAAAUUGGAAAGAAAAUUGCUAUAAUAUGCCCUGGACUCAACUGAUAUGAUACAUUUUGAUAGUUUUGAUCUGGACAUAAUACAGAGUUGCCUCACUACUUUGCGGUUCGCUUUUCGCGGAUUCGCUGUUUCGCGGUUUUUCAAUAAACUCUAAAAGAAUAUUAUAAAUAAAAAAUUACAAUUUACAGCCUAAGGAAGGGAGGAAGGAGAAGCUAAAGGGAGAGGAAAGGAGCCCAAGCGGCAACGGGAAGAGAAGGAGGCAAUUUAUCAACAUCCGAUUGGUUGAUAAAGACUUAAAAUAGUGUAUAACAACUACAAUAAUGUAUAAAUAUUAAAAUAAGUGUCCCUACUUUGUGGAUAUUUUCUUAUUGCGGGUGGUCCUGGAACCUAACCCCCUCAAUAAGUGAGGGAACACUGUAUUCUACUUCUAGUGUACAAUACGCUGCCACCUAUAACUCGUUUUUCUUUUUCUUUUCUCUUUUUACUUGGUAGCUUUUAGAAAAAAAAAUCCACUCAUAUGCCCUGGAGCAGCGUUAGUUUGCUCCAAAUUCAGGGCCAUUGUUCAGAUGGUGGGAGAUAACUGCUGCUCCACUGGGGUAACAUACAUCUUACCUCCUCUGUGUUGCCACUGCUGCUCCUAGCUGGCCACAAAGUUGACUACUUUGUGCAAGUUCCUGGCUGUUGUGGGUACCUCUGCUGACAUCAGAAUGAGGCAUCCACACCACUAGCAUGAUAGAAAUGGGAGAUACCCUCUCUUCUUCUUGAUUUUGCAGAUGCCCUGUUCUGAUCUCAGCAGAGGCGCCUGCAUAACCAGACAGACGAGGGGAAGCCACUUGGUUGCAUGGCCACCUCUGCAGCAUGAGUGCCAUCCAUCUGCUUUCCCUGUGCUAGUGUGCACGGGGAAAGGGUGAUGACACUAGUACUCAGUCGGGAAUACAAUUCAAGCUGAAUUGGAUCUGAACUUACUGUUCAGACUGCUCCAAAGCCGCAGGAUAUUCUGGCGUUCCCAGAAAAGGUGAAUACUCACCUGACAUAGCUGUGCAUCAUGAAGACAGACAGCCUUCCAUUGGGGUGAGUCCAGUGGUUUUGACCAGUGCAUACAAGACCCCGGUCUUUUUCUGAUUUCUUAAUUAUACUCUCCGUUAUGACUAAUAACUGAGCCAAGGUAUGGAAAAUCUUUUAAGAAUUUCAAUCUAGUCCUUAUCCACUUUAAAUCUUAUACAUUUUAAGGGGUUAUUGUUUUUACUUUCUUAAUGGAUAAUUUAGCUCUUAGCUUUGUAUUUUCAUCUUUAAUUUUCAUCAGCAACCUAUUUAGUGUCUUUGCUAUGCUCUGAUAGUAAUAUUGUGGUGUUUUGUACCUUAAAUUGUUGAUUUUUUUCCUCCUGUUUUUAUACCUCUCUUCCUCUUAAUCUAUUCCCACAUUCUGUAUAAAAUUUGUGCACAACCUAAAUAUACUCCUUCUGUCCUUUCAAGUUGCUGCAGAGUUUGUUUGCUUUGCAGGCUAAAGUUUUUCUUUUCCUCUUCCUUAUAUUUGGUAGGUGUGGCUGGUUAGGCUACUUGUUGUUACAGGUGUAUUAUUACAGGAACAUUUGGAGAGGAAUCUGGAAAGUAAACGUGCAAAUAACUGAUAGAGGAUUUAUAAUUAUAUAAUACUGAGAGACAUGGCUAUCCAUUAGCACUUUAAAAGCACAUGGUAUUUAGAAUUUCUGACUGAUUCAUUUUUAAAAUUCCCAAAAUGCUAUAAAGAGAACUAUGCAGUUCAUUCAUGCCUUGCCUGUUUCACAUUGCCAUUAUAUAUAUUUGCACUGGUAAAACGUUAUGUAAAAGAAUAUUGUUCAUAUAAUUGCACAUAAAUUAUUUUUCUCCCAAACUUAUGAUCUUGCAACCUUGGUGAUGCUCCUGCAGGAAGGAGGCACUGCUUCAGAGAAAAAAAACCUGUUUGCCCUUUUGGCAGUGGAAGCAUGUGAAGCAAUUGAUGGUGGAGCGCCAGAGAUUGACUGGGAUUUGUUGAUUGUUAAUUGUAGCAGAAUUUAGCUGUCUUAAGUCAUGACCAGCUUGGUUCACAAUCAGGACAUCAGGGUUAAGAUAUGCAUCCUUUUGUGGGUGCAUCAGCACUGUAGAAUUAUUGCAGUUAGACACCACUUUGACUGCCCUGGCUCAUUGCUGUAAAAUCCUGGGAAGACAGGGACCUCUGUAGCAGAAAAUUCAAAAGACCCUGCCCUAAACUAUAUUUCCCAGAAUUCUGUCCGUUUCCCGCGUUAAAGCCUCAAUGUAAAUGUGGUCUCUGCCCGUCUUUCUCUGGUCUGGCCAUAUGCUGGAGGAGUUUAUUCCUUGCCUGGCCAUCCAUCCAGCCAGACAUCCCUCACACCCUUCCUCCCCCCCUUUGCCACCCCCUUUGGGGAAAGAGUGGGGUUUCUCUCUUCACACUGGCCUUGCCAUCUUCCUCAGGGCCCUUUGGGAGAAUUAAAUCCAGCCCUAUUGGGGGAGAAGCGGUGUCCGCAACGGAGACCUGGAGCCAUUUACAAGACUUACAUAACUCUUCUGUAAGUCGUUGGUCAGUGUUUUGAAUCUUAAGUUUUUUGCAUGGGCACCUCUUGCAUUUGUUAAUAUCGAGUCGUAUGUAUGAAUCUUACAAAAUAGAUAUGACAAAUGAGGAACAAAUUAAAUGUUGCACAGCCCUACACCUCAUGUAAGAAAUUGAUCCAGUGUGACUUACACAGAAAUAAUCAAAUUGAUUCAAUUUAUUAAAGGGUUAAACAUAAUAGAGUUUAAGGGGUACAGCUGCUGCUAGGUCCAUUCCUGAUCCUAAUGCUUCGAAACCCCACAACUUUGUACCCCAGGAAAAGGUUUUUAAUAAAAAGGAAAAUCAUAUAUAAGUCCGUGCCUUAUGGGACUUAUCAGCCUUUCGCAGGGCAUAUAAAACACACCUGUUUCAGCAGGCUUUUGAUCUCUGUUACUGCUAUUUUUAAAUUAUUUUAGAUUUUAGCCUGUUCUUGUAAGCUGCCCCAAGCUCUAGGGGAGUGGUGGCAUAUAAGUUUGAAUAAUAAAUAAAUAAAUAUCUAUUUGUAGUUUUUGUGAACUAUAAAUCUUUCAAGUGGGGGGAGUACUGUGGCUAGAUAACAAUUGCACCAAUUCUGUAUAAUUCUUGUGUCCAUGGUCACUACAUUAUUGAUAUGUGUGUUUGUGUGGGUUCUAAAGAAGUGACCAACUCAUUAGAAAACACCUUUAAUAAUAAUAAUAAUAAUAAUAAUAACAACUUUAUUUUUGUAUGCCGCCUCCAUCUCCCCCAACGGGGACUCGGAGCGGCUCACAUGGGGAGCAAGCCCAGUCAAUCACAUUUAACAUCAGAAGGUCAUCCGUCAUACAAAAAGCAUCAUAAUAAAAACAAUUUAAACAAAACAUAGUUAAAAGACAUCAUUAAGACACAAUAAUAAAAUUACUAACAAUCACCAUAUGCCAGUAAAAAAGUCCAAUAUAGAACAUAAAUGGGCAACAAUCCAAACUGAUAAAAGUAUCUAUAUCAAGAUAGGCAUACUUGGAAAAAAUAUAAAAGGGAAGAUGAAUCUAGGUGGAAAUACAGUUGUAAAGUGACAAGGAAGUUUCAAUAUAGAUAAGGGUCAGGUAUAACAGACUUGUUUAGUCGAAAGCAUGACCAAACAGCCAUGUUUUUAACUGUUUCUGAAAGACAUCGAUUUGUCAUGAAAUACAUUUGUCAUGUAUUUCAUGACAAAUAACAGGCAGCAUUUAAAACUGGGCAAAAAGAAAUCCAACGCAAGGGACAACUGAGCAUCACCAGUACAUUGCUCUUUUCCGGUCAACAGACUGGGCUAUUGAUGUCCCCUCUGUCUCAUAUAGGCAUCCAUGUGCAAGUUUAAAAGAGAGCUCAACUACAUACAGACUUUAUAGGGAUAUUAAAGACCUUGCACCCAGUAUUUAAAAUGCCCAGCAUUCAAGGUUUGCUAUGCCAGGUGCAGACAUAAUAAAAAUUAUCUUCCCAUAAAUUUGAGGCAGAUUUUAAAAAGAAUUAAGGUGUGUUUAUAGAACAGCCUCAAGAGAGAGAGAUUUCAUUUACUGAGGUCGAAUUUUCAUUUCUGCAUAUUUGUAAGAAUAAUGGUGUCCCUUUCCAGCAACCCAGUUGAUGCCAUCAGCAUAAGAGGUAUGUUCCCCCCUGAGGUACAGGCCAUUCAGGUUGGAUGUGUGGCAAUGACUAUACCACCAGCCUCCCUUAUACAUCACAGCACAGCUUCCUGAUUCAUAGCCAUCAUUGUCCCUGUCUCGUGUGGAGAAUGCAAAGCCACUGUGCCCUGAAAAUGAAUCACCUGAAAGAGAAUGAAAAAAGGAAAAGCAGAUAUAAACUCUUCAGAAUCAACUUAGUAUGUGUUCUCUAUGUGAUGAAAAUGCAAAUUUGUUGCUAGAAAAUAUUAAACAAGUGAUCAAACCAAAGGAAAUUGUUUGCAUUCAGAAGGUCCCUGUUUCUCUGUAUAAGUUUGGGAAAAAAACCCUUUCUUGGACCAGAAAGAUUAACUGCCACUUCAUGUAGACUAGGGUAUGGACAAAUUUUGCAGGUAGGAAUGGGAGCUUACAUCCCUCAUUUCAAUGUAGUGGGGCCAGAUAUAUGUUCAACAUUGGAUUCCUCCAAAGCUUUCUAAGGGUCCUAUUCCUUUCGUUGUUUCUAGUUUUGUUAUUCAUUUAGGACAGUUAACUAAAUAUUUAAAACAAUGCAAAUUAAAAACAAAUCACCCACUAACAUAGCAUAUAAACGUCAUAUUUACAAACAAUUAAAAUAUAACUUAAAGCAUUAUUAUUAUUAUUAUUAUUAUUAUUAUUAUCAUCAUUUAUACACCAUUUUUUCUUUCCACAUUAAACAUUAAAGUGUUGUAGUAGAGCCUGUGAGUAACGUUACAAUCAGUAGUAUGGGCGCCAGAAGGGGAAAAAGGGUUACUCAGGAGCAGGAAUCCAAUGAUGAGCAGCAGAGAAAGAAGAUCCGGGACAUACUUACAGCAUCUAUAGAUGAGGAGUCGUUUGAGGGAUUCUCUGGGGAUGAUAAUGUUGCAGACAGUAGUAUGGGUGUCAGAAGGGGGGAGAGUUACUCGGGAGCAGGAAUCUGAUGAUGAGCAGCAGAGAAAGAGAAUUCGGGACAUACUUACAGCACCUACAGAUGAAGAGUCGUUUGAGGGAUUCUCUGAGGAUGAUGGGUCAAUGAGUGAAGGAGAAGAAGGAGACACCAUGGAUUGGACUAAGAUAAGAGAAGUGCAAGCUAUUUGUGAGGCACCAACAACUAGUGAUACCUGUAUGGGGUUCUCUGGGAGUGAAGACUGGUAAUCAGGGGAUCCAACUUAUUCUUGGGGGGGAUCUAAGUCUUGACAGGAGAUGGAGGAAUUAGAGGGAGAGUCAAAGGAAUUCACGUGAAGAGCUGGGAGCAGCUGUGGGGGAUGGUGAUGGGGCGGUGGUCAGUUCAUCCUCUGAUGAUGGUUUGUAGAUAAAAGUGGGUUCAGGGGUGAGGGGUCUUUGCAGAAGGCAAGGUGUUGAUGUGUGUUCGUGUGCUGUGUAUUGGGAAAGUUUCUUGUAGUCUUGCUGCUUCCUGUUUCAUGUUCGGCGUUGGACUCGGAUCUGCAGUUUGGACUGGUUUGGCUGGAGACGCUGCUUCUGCAGACAUUGGAGCAACACUGCUUUGAUUCCUCCUGCUUUGACCUUGGACUUUGGCUGACCAUGCUUCUCUUCUUGCAACUCCCUCUUUUAACCAUUUGUGUAAGGUGCCUUUUGUUUUGCCUUAGAGCACUUUGUUUGACUUGUUGAUUUUUGCAUCCAGUUGAUUUCUGUUUACCUUUUGUACCAGGUGUGGUUUUUGAGUUUUUGACCAGUGGAACUGCAUUUAAGUAUCCCUGCGUCCUUUUCCUUUUGUUUCAAUAAACUCUGUUUUGAA